rnacentral:rRNA from 1 species
UACGGAGGGAGCUAGCGUUGUUCGGAAUUACUGGGCGUAAAGCGCACGUAGGCGGCUUUGUAAGUUAGAGGUGAAAGCCUGGAGCUCAACUCCAGAAUUGCCUUUAAGACUGCAUCGCUUGAAUCAUGGAGAGGCGGGUGGAAUUCCGAGUGUAGAGGUGAAAUUCGUAGAUAUUCGGAAGAACACCAGUGGCGAAGGCGGCCCGCUGGACAUGUAUUGACGCUGAGGUGCGAAAGCGUGAGGAGCAAACAGG